CUGCUGCCUUCCGUAGGAGUUUGGGCCGUGUCUCAGUCCCAAUGUGGCCGGCCACCCUCUCAGGUCGGCUACUGAUCGUCGCCUUGGUGGGCCUCUACCCCGCCAACCAGCUAAUCAGACGCGGAUCCAUCUCAUACCGCCUCAGCUUUUCACACCGAGACAUGCAUCUCUGUGCGCUUAUGCGGUAUUAGCAGUCAUUUCUAACUGUUACUCCCCUGUAUGAGGCUAGGUUACUCC
rnacentral:rRNA from 1 species